rnacentral:rRNA from 1 species
UACGUAGGGCGCAAGCGUUGUCCGGAAUUAUUGGGCGUAAAGAGCUCGUAGGCGGCUUGUCACGUCGGUUGUGAAAGCCCGGGGCUUAACCCCGGGUCUGCAGUCGAUACGAGCAGGCUAGAGUUCGGUAGGGGAGAUCGGAAUUCCUGGUGUAGCGGUGAAAUGCGCAGAUAUCAGGAAGAACACCUAUGGCGAAGGCAGCACUCUGGGACGGUACUGACGCUGAGACGCGAAAGCGUGGGGAGCGAACAGG